rnacentral:misc_RNA from 1 species
GAUGAAGAACGCAGCGAAAUGCGAUACGUAAUGUGAAUUGCAGAAUUCAGUGAAUCAUCGAGUCUUUGAACGCACAUUGCGCCCCCUGGUAUUCCGGGGGGCAUGCCUGUCCGAGCGUCAUUGCUGCCCUCAAGCACGGCUUGUGUGUUGGGCCUCCGUCCUCCUCCCGGGGGACGGGCCCGAAAGGCAGCGGCGGCACCGCGUCCGGUCCUCGAGCGUAUGGGGCUUCGUCACCCGCUCUUGUAGGCCCGGCCGGCGCUUGCCGACACAUCAAUCUUUUUUCCAGGUUGACCUCGGAUCAGGUAGGGAUACCCGCUGAACUUAAGCAUAUCAAUAAGCGGA